rnacentral:rRNA from 1 species
GAUGAACGCUGGCGGCGUGCCUAAUACAUGCAAGUCGAGCGAACAGACGAGGAGCUUGCUCCUCUGACGUUAGCGGCGGACGGGUGAGUAACACGUGGAUAACCUACCUAUAAGACUGGGAUAACUUCGGGAAACCGGAGCUAAUACCGGAUAAUAUAUUGAACCGCAUGGUUCAAUAGUGAAAGACGGUUUUGCUGUCACUUAUAGAUGGAUCCGCGCCGCAUUAGCUAGUUGGUAAGGUAACGGCUUACCAAGGCGACGAUGCGUAGCCGACCUGAGAGGGUGAUCGGCCACACUGGAACUGAGACACGGUCCAGACCCCUACGGGAGGCAGCAGUAGGGAAUCUUCCGCAAUGGGCGAAAGCCUGACGGAGCAACGCCGCGUGAGUGAUGAAGGUCUUCGGAUCGUAAAACUCUGUUAUUAGGGAAGAACAAAUGUGUAAGUAACGAUGCACGUCUUGACGGUACCGAAUCAGAAAGCCACGGCUAACUACGU